CAGGCCCUACCGACUAGAAUAGCUGGUACUUGAGAAAAGAGUAUAGCUCUGCCUAAGCUACAAAAUGCAUCUAAACAAAGUACUUAGCUUAAGAGUUAUUCAAGUAAGGCACAGCUUACUUGAAACAGGAUACAACCUUAAAUAACGGGUAAACGAUAAACCUAUUGCCUAAGUAGGCCUAAAAGCAGCCACCUUUAAAAAAGCGUCAAAGCUUAGUCACUUCAUGCCUCAAAUUCCUAUUUAAUAUCUGAACCCUCUACCCCUAUCAAGUAAUUUUAUACUUCUAUAAAAGAUAUUAUGCUAGAACUAGUAACAAGAAAAUGCCUUCUCCUAAAUGUAAGCAUAAACCAGAAUGGACACCCCACUGGUAAUCAACGUAAAUGCACCUUUUAUAGCAACGCUAACAAGAAAAACCUAUUAACUUAAACGUUAACCUAACACUAGAACAUUCCAGGAAAGAUUAAAAGAGAAAGAAGGAACUCGGCAAAAUUUAGCCCCGCCUGUUUACCAAAAACAUCGCCUCUUGAAAAAUAUAAGAGGUCCAGCCUGCCCAGUGACAAAGUUCAACGGCCGCGGUACCCUAACCGCGCGAAGGUAGCAUAAUCACUUGUUCUUUAAAUAGGGACUAGUAUCAAUGGCAUCACGAGGGCUGCACUGUCUCCUUUCUCCAAUCAGUGAAACUGAUCUCCCCGUGAAGAAGCGGGGAUUUUGAUAUAAGACGAGAAGACCCCAUGGAGCUUCAAGCAACGAAUUUACCUUUAACUCGUAUUUCUACUAAUUUCAAAAGCCUAAUUCUAGCUUUUGGUUGGGGGGACCGCGGAGUAUAACCCAACCUCCGCAACUAACGGGCUUUGCCCUAAUCCAUGAGCCACACCUCUAAGAAUCAAUAAAUUGAUGCCUUUGACCCGAAAACUCGAUCAAUGGACCAAGUUACCCUGGGGAUAACAGCGCGAUCUACUUUGAGAGCCCCUAUCGACAAGUAGGCUUACGACCUCGAUGUUGGAUCAGGGUAUCCCAGUGGUGCAGCCGCUACUAAAGGUUCGU
rnacentral:rRNA from 1 species